AUUGGGACAGGCUUUGCCUGUAAGAGGGCUGGUCUGGGGGGACAUCUGAACCCAAUUCAGGAACACCUCACAGGUCUGCCAGCAGGGCUAGACCCGGGGUGAGAUCCAGGGCAACAGGGUCUGCCUGGGAAGCUCAGCUCCGGCACUGCCUGGGGCGUCUCUGCCUACACAGGACCAUUCCUCUCGCCUGGACUCCUCUUGGAGUUUGCCAAGGCUGGCCUCUGCAGAAAUAGGAGACUCCUGGAGGAAGACAGUGGACUUCAGCAAGCUGCACCAAGGAGAAUCCACAGCGGCAGCUGCCCUGCCAGGCGCGGGAUCUCGGUCAAGGUGGAUCAACACAGCCUCAGGAAGCCCAGAGAGAACUGGACAAGCUGGAUAUCCCAAAGAGCAUGGCACUGGCCCACCACAUUGAUUACAUUGCGCUGGCCGGGUGCUAACCAAGAAGCAGCUAACACACUGGGAGUCUUGGUAAGAUGCCUGAGUGCCUGCAGCUGGCAGACAAAUCCUACAAAGAUUCUGGGAACUGCCACUAAUAACACUCUUGGUGGGGAGGUCCCAUAUCCCAUAACCAGGAGCAUACUGGGCCUCCUGUCCACAGCAAAGAGCCAAUUACUGCAUCUUGCAUCUCCCAUGACCAAGAGAGACAGACAAUGCCAGUACGCCUUCUGGAGGCAGCACGUUCCACACACAUGAAGACUACUCCAGCCUAUGUACCAUUGAUAGGAGAAGCUGUCGGCCUUCCCUGAGCCUGCAGCAGGUCGAGGCUGCAGUGCUGGCAGCCCUGUGACUCAGGCCCUGCAGCUGGUCGGACCCUGUGUUAUGAGAGGUAUCAGACGUGGGAAAGCAAUGCUGUGUGUUUAUGGCAAACCACUAUGCCAGAAUCACAGUGCAGGCCCCUGGGAUUCAGAAACAAAGCCGUGCCAUCUGCGGCAGAGGAUUCUGCGAAAAAUUCUGAAAAGUCCCUGUUGAUGUGCUCCUGGGGCCUGGGGUGAUGGAAUACCUGAUUGUGCAUGUGGAACUGCUCAGAUGAGCUGGAUUCUGUCUCACCCCUGGGUCAUGAGGUUGGGGACUCAGAAAUAACCCAUCACAGGUGGGAGUGUGCGUGUGGCAGCAGCAGAAGCAGGAGCAGGAGGCCAAGCAGCGGCAGCUGCCCAGUACCCCCCCCCACCCUCCACAGCAGUCCCCACAGCCCCAGUGGAGGAACCUUCUGGUGAACUGAGGAGGGAGGGACAAGCCCGGCCUCAGUUCAUGGAGGUGUCUGCUCUGCCUGUGGGGCCAGCCCAAAUCGCCUGGCUGCCAUACUCCAGUCUCAGCAAGCUGCCCUUUAAAGAGGGUGAUAUGGUUUGGCUCUGUGUCCCCACCCAAAUCUCAUCUUGAACUGUAAUCCCCAGGUGAUGAGGGUGAGACCUGAUGGGAAGUGAUUGGAUCAUGGGGGCUGUUUUCCCCAUGCUGUUCUCGUGAUAGUGAAGGAGUUCUCAUGAGAUCUGAUGGUUUUAUAAGUGUCUGGCAAUUCCCCUGCUUGCACUUGUCUUUCUCACCCACCACCACGUAAGACGUGCCUGCUUCCCCUUCCGCCAUGAUUGUAAGUUUCCUGAGGCGUCCCCAGCCAUGCAGAACUGUGAGUCAAUGAAACCUCUUUUCUUUAUAAAUUACCCAGUCUUGGGUAGUAUCUUUAUAGCAAUGUGAGAACGGACUAACACAGAGGGUGAUGAGGGAACAUUCUCCCAGUGGUCAUCCCCUCUGUGUAAGUGGCUGUGAGGUUAGAAGAUCUCUGAACCCAUGGGCAAUGGCCAACGACUUUGCCGGCUGAACCCAGAAUGGGAGCGAUGUGGAGAGUGGGGA
rnacentral:lncRNA from 10 species